AGGGUUGCCUAGGCAGGAACUGGAUCGGUCCAGAGUGACAGGAGAGCUCCUAGGGAGCUGAUGUCUUUUGGAUGUGGGCAGAUGGCAGGAAUUGAAGAAAGAAGAAUUUAAACGCUGGUUGAUCCAGAGCUCAGAGACCUGGCAUUGCCACGAAGGAAGGCACGGCACAAUCAGAAGUGCCUGGGGAAGCCAGAAGAGGGUGUUGGAUCUCCUGGGACUUGAAAGAGAGGCAACUGAUGUGGGUGCCUGAAAUAGACUAUGGGUCUGGAAGAAGCUGCUGAGUCAUUGCUCUGUGACUGAAUCUAUAUACAAGAGAUCCAAUGAUACACAGACUCUCCAACCUCAACAUGUUCAAAGAGAGUGGAGGAAAGGGCACAAAACAGAAUCUCUCUGGCUGUUCUUUAUGUUGGCCUCCUGACCAGGACUGAAUGACUCAGGGGUGAGGGUCCAUCCAUUUGCCUACAACCACUCUGGAAAUCAUUCUGGCGGUUCCUCAGAAAAUUGGACAUAGUACUACCGGAGGAUCCAGCAAUACCUCUCCUGGGCAUAUAUCCAGAAGAUGUUCCAACAGAAAUCACCCAUUCCAGUGUGGCUACAAGCUAAUGGCUCCCAAGUUUUGGCCAUGAACAAAUUUGGAAGAUAAUUUUUGACCAUAGGUCACUGUGCUUUGGAGUAUGUUGUGUGGAAAGACAUUAAAGAAGUGAACGGUG
rnacentral:lncRNA from 1 species